rnacentral:rRNA from 1 species
GACGAACCGUGCGAACGUUAUUCGGAAUCACUGGGCUUAAAGCGCGUGUAGGCGGAUGGGUGCGUCGGCUUCUGAAAGCCCCCGGCUCAACCGGGGAAGUGGGGCCGAAACGACCCGUCUGGAGGGACGUAGGGGGAUCUGGAACUUCCGGUGGAGCGGUGAAAUGCGUUGAGAUCGGAAGGAACGCCCCGUGGCGAAAGCGAGAUCCUGGGACGUCUUCUACGCUGAGACGCGAAAAGCUAGGGGGAGCAAACGGGG